GGCCUCGUGGCCCAAUGGCAAGGCGUCUGACUACGAGAAAUUCAGCAUUCUGUUGGAUUUUCAUUGCAAUCAGGAGAUUCUGGGUUCGACCCCCAGCGAGGUCA